UACGGAGGGAGCUAGCGUUGUUCGGAAUUACUGGGCGUAAAGCGCACGUAGGCGGCUAUUCAAGUCAGAGGUGAAAGCCCGGGGCUCAACCCCGGAACUGCCUUUGAAACUAGAUAGCUAGAAUCUUGGAGAGGUCAGUGGAAUUCCGAGUGUAGAGGUGAAAUUCGUAGAUAUUCGGAAGAACACCAGUGGCGAAGGCGACUGACUGGACAAGUAUUGACGCUGAGGUGCGAAAGCGUGGGGAGCAAACAGGGAU
rnacentral:rRNA from 1 species